AGCGAACGCUGGCGGCAUGCCUAAUACAUGCAAGUCGAACGAGACCUUCGGGUCUAGUGGCGCACGGGGGCGUAACGCGUGGGAACCUGCCCUUAGGUUCGGAAUAACUCCCCGAAAGGGGUGCUAAUACCGGAUAAUGUCUUCGGACCAAAGAUUUAUCGACUUUGGAUGGGCCCGCGUUGGAUUAGCUGGUUGGUACGGUAAAAGCCUACCAAGGCGACGAUCCAUAGCUGGUCUGAGAGGAUGAUCAGCCACACUGAGACUGAGACACGGCCCAGACUCCUACGGGAGGCAGCAAUGGGGAAUGUUGGACAAUGGGCGAAGGCCUGAUCCAGCAAUGCCGCGUGAGUGAUGAAGGCCUUAGGGUUGUAAAGCUCUUUUACCCGGGAUGAUAAUGACAGUACCGGAAGAAUAAGCUCCGGCUAACUCCGUG
rnacentral:rRNA from 1 species